rnacentral:rRNA from 1 species
GAUGAACGCUGGCGGCGUGCCUAAUACAUGCAAGUCGAGCGAACAGAUGAGGAGCUUGCUCCUCUGACGUUAGCGGCGGACGGGUGAGUAACACGUGGAUAACCUACCUAUAAGACUGGGAUAACUUCGGGGAACCGGAGCUAAUACCGGAUAAUAUAUUGAACCGCAUGGUUCAAUAUUGAAAGACGGUUUUGCUGUCACUUAUAGAUGGAUCCGCGCCGCAUUAGCUAGUUGGUAAGGUAACGGCUUACCAAGGCAACGAUGCGUAGCCGACCUGAGAGGGUGAUCGGCCACACUGGAACUGAGACACGGUCCAGACUCCUACGGGAGGCAGCAGUAGGGAAUCUUCCGCAAUGGGCGAAAGCCUGACGGAGCAACGCCGCGUGAGCGAUGAAGGUCUUCGGAUCGUAAAACUCUGUUAUUAGGGAAGAACAAAUGUGUAAGUAACUAUGCACGUCUUGACGGUACCUAAUCAGAAAGCCACGGCUAACUACGUG